GCUAACGGCUGAACUGGCAACUUGGAGAAGUGGCAAGUCUUCCAGUAUGGGGAGCAAAACAGCUAUGGGUCAAGUCCGAUAUCUUUAGGAGAAGUCUUAUUGUGAGGGCGAGUUAUAUAACACCAUAGGACUGGCCGUCCCAUAUGAAAAGAUUAUAUUAGAAUUGAAUGAAGCUUUGUUUAUAUAUUGAUAAUGACAGUAUAUAUAUCGUGUCUUGACUAAUUGCGUGCCAGCAGUCGCGGUAAUACGUAAGAGACUAGUGUUAUUCAUCUUAAUUAGGUUUAAAGGGUACCCAGACGGUCAAUAUAGCUUAUAAAAUGUUAGUACUUGACUAGAGUUUUAUGUAAGAGGGCAGUACUUGAGGAGGAGAGAUGAAAUUUCGUGAUACCAAAGGGACUCUGUAAAGGCGAAGGCAGCCCUCUAUGUAAAAACUGACGUUGAAGGACGAAGGCACAGAGAACAAACAGGAUUAGAUACCCAAGUAGUCUUUGCAGUAAAUGAUGAAUGCCAUAGGUUAGAUUAAUCAAAUAUAGUCUAGGGUUAGUCUAGCAAACUAAUGACCUAUACUAUAAUGAAAAAUAUCUGGUCUAUAAAUGAAAGUGUAAGCAUUUCACCUCAAGAGUAAUGUGGCAACGCAGGAACUGAAAUCACUAGACCGUUUCUGACACCAGUAGUGAAGUAU
rnacentral:rRNA from 3 species